rnacentral:rRNA from 1 species
AUUGAACGCUGGCGGCAGGCCUAACACAUGCAAGUCGAGCGAGCGGCGGACGGGUGAGUAAUGCCUGGGAAUUGCCCAGUCGAGGGGGAUAACAGUUGGAAACGACUGCUAAUACCGCAUACGAUUGGAUUGCCCAGGUGGGAUUAGCUAGUUGGUGAGGUAAUGGCUCACAAAGGCGACGAUCCCUCGCUGGUCUGAGAGGAUGAUCAGCCAAACGGGAACUGGGAAACGGUCCAGACUCCUACGGAGGGCAGCAGUGGGGAAUAUGGCAAAAUGGGGGAAGCCCGGAUGCAGACAGGCCGGGUGGGGGAAGAAGGCCUUCGGGUUGUAAAGCACUUUCAGCGAGGAGGCGUUACUCGCAGAAGAAGCACCGGCUAACUCCGUGCCAGCAGCCGCGGUAAUUC